rnacentral:rRNA from 1 species
AUUGAACGCUGGCGGCAGGCCUAACACAUGCAAGUCGAGCGAGUGGCGGACGGGUGUGUAAUGUCUGGGGACCUGCCCGAUAGAGGGGGAUAACUACUGGAAACGGUGGCUAAUACCGCAUACUAUCGGAUGAACCCAUAUGGGCUUAGCUAGUGGGUGGGGUAAAGGCUCACCUGGGCGACGAUCCCUAGCUGGUCUGAGAGGAUGAUCAGCCACACGGGGACUGGGACACGGCCCAGACUCCUACGGGAGGCAGCGGUGGGGAAUAUUGCAAAAUGGGCGCAAGCCUAAUGCAGCAAUGCGGCGUGUAUGAAGAAGGCCUUAGGGUUGUAAAGUACUUUCAGCGGGGAGGCGUUACCCGCAGAGGAAGCACCGGCUAACUCCGUGCCAGCAGCCGCGGUAAUUC